AGUUGGUGUGGUAACGGCUCACCAAACCUACGAUGGAUAGGGGUUCUGAGAGGAAGGUCCCCCACACUGGAACUGAGACACGGUCCAGACUCCUACGGGAGGCAGCAGUGAGGAAUAUUGGUCAAUGGGCGCGAGCCUGAACCAGCCACGUCGCGUGAAGGAUGACGGCCUUAUGGGUUGUAAACUUCUUUUACAGGGGAAUAAAGUGAGUCACGUGUGAUUUUUUGCAUGUACCCUGUGAAUAAGCAUCGGCUAACUCCGUGCCAGCAGCCGCGGUAAUACGGAGGAUGCGAGCGCUAUCCGGAUUUAUUGGGUUUAAAGGGUGCGUAGGCGGGAUAUUAAGUCAGCGGUGAAAGUUUUCGGCUCAACCUUAAAAUUGCCGUUGAAACUGUUAUUCUUGAGUGCAGUAGAGGUAGGCGGAAUUCGUUGUGUAGCGGUGAAAUGCGUAGAUAUAACGAGGAACUCCGAUUGCGUAGGCAGCUUACUAUAUUGCUACUGACGCUGAGGCACGAAAGUGUGGGUAUCAAACAGGAUUAGAUACCCUGGUAGUCCACACAGUAAACGAUGAAUACUAGCUGUUUGCGAUAUAUUGUA
rnacentral:rRNA from 1 species